GGGUUGUGAGGUUAAGCGACUAAGCGUACACGGUGGAUGCCCUGGCAGUCAGAGGCGAUGAAGGACGUGCUAAUCUGCGAUAAGCGUCGGUAAGGUGAUAUGAACCGUUAUAACCGGCGAUUUCCGAAUGGGGAAACCCAGUGUGUUUCGACACACUAUCAUUAACUGAAUCCAUAGGUUAAUGAGGCGAACCGGGGGAACUGAAACAUCUAAGUACCCCGAGGAAAAGAAAUCAACCGAGAUUCCCCCAGUAGCGGCGAGCGAACGGGGAGCAGCCCAGAGCCUGAAUCAGUGUGUGUGUUAGUGGAAGCGUCUGGAAAGGCGCGCGAUACAGGGUGACAGCCCCGUACACAAAAAUGCACAUACUGUGAGCUCGAUGAGUAGGGCGGGACACGUGGUAUCCUGUCUGAAUAUGGGGGGACCAUCCUCCAAGGCUAAAUACUCCUGACUGACCGAUAGUGAACCAGUACCGUGAGGGAAAGGCGAAAAGAACCCCGGCGAGGGGAGUGAAAAAGAACCUGAAACCGUGUACGUACAAGCAGUGGGAGCACGCUUCGGCGUGUGACUGCGUACCUUUUGUAUAAUGGGUCAGCGACUUAUAUUCUGUAGCAAGGUUAACCGAAUAGGGGAGCCGAAGGGAAACCGAGUCUUAACUGGGCGUUAAGUUGCAGGGUAUAGACCCGAAACCCGGUGAUCUAGCCAUGGGCAGGUUGAAGGUUGGGUAACACUAACUGGAGGACCGAACCGACUAAUGUUGAAAAAUUAGCGGAUGACUUGUGGCUGGGGGUGAAAGGCCAAUCAAACCGGGAGAUAGCUGGUUCUCCCCGAAAGCUAUUUAGGUAGCGCCUCGUGAAUUCAUCUCCGGGGGUAGAGCACUGUUUCGGCAAGGGGGUCAUCCCGACUUACCAACCCGAUGCAAACUGCGAAUACCGGAGAAUGUUAUCACGGGAGACACACGGCGGGUGCUAACGUCCGUCGUGAAGAGGGAAACAACCCAGACCGCCAGCUAAGGUCCCAAAGUCAUGGUUAAGUGGGAAACGAUGUGGGAAGGCCCAGACAGCCAGGAUGUUGGCUUAGAAGCAGCCAUCAUUUAAAGAAAGCGUAAUAGCUCACUGGUCGAGUCGGCCUGCGCGGAAGAUGUAACGGGGCUAAACCAUGCACCGAAGCUGCGGCAGCGACACUAUGUGUUGUUGGGUAGGGGAGCGUUCUGUAAGCCUGUGAAGGUGUACUGUGAGGUAUGCUGGAGGUAUCAGAAGUGCGAAUGCUGACAUAAGUAACGAUAAAGCGGGUGAAAAGCCCGCUCGCCGGAAGACCAAGGGUUCCUGUCCAACGUUAAUCGGGGCAGGGUGAGUCGACCCCUAAGGCGAGGCCGAAAGGCGUAGUCGAUGGGAAACAGGUUAAUAUUCCUGUACUUGGUGUUACUGCGAAGGGGGGACGGAGAAGGCUAUGUUGGCCGGGCGACGGUUGUCCCGGUUUAAGCGUGUAGGCUGGUUUUCCAGGCAAAUCCGGAAAAUCAAGGCUGAGGCGUGAUGACGAGGCACUACGGUGCUGAAGCAACAAAUGCCCUGCUUCCAGGAAAAGCCUCUAAGCAUCAGGUAACAUCAAAUCGUACCCCAAACCGACACAGGUGGUCAGGUAGAGAAUACCAAGGCGCUUGAGAGAACUCGGGUGAAGGAACUAGGCAAAAUGGUGCCGUAACUUCGGGAGAAGGCACGCUGAUAUGUAGGUGAAGUCCCUCGCGGAUGGAGCUGAAAUCAGUCGAAGAUACCAGCUGGCUGCAACUGUUUAUUAAAAACACAGCACUGUGCAAACACGAAAGUGGACGUAUACGGUGUGACGCCUGCCCGGUGCCGGAAGGUUAAUUGAUGGGGUUAGCGGUAACGCGAAGCUCUUGAUCGAAGCCCCGGUAAACGGCGGCCGUAACUAUAACGGUCCUAAGGUAGCGAAAUUCCUUGUCGGGUAAGUUCCGACCUGCACGAAUGGCGUAAUGAUGGCCAGGCUGUCUCCACCCGAGACUCAGUGAAAUUGAACUCGCUGUGAAGAUGCAGUGUACCCGCGGCAAGACGGAAAGACCCCGUGAACCUUUACUAUAGCUUGACACUGAACAUUGAGCCUUGAUGUGUAGGAUAGGUGGGAGGCUUUGAAGUGUGGACGCCAGUCUGCAUGGAGCCGAACUUGAAAUACCACCCUUUAAUGUUUGAUGUUCUAACGUUGACCCGUAAUCCGGGUUGCGGACAGUGUCUGGUGGGUAGUUUGACUGGGGCGGUCUCCUCCUAAAGAGUAACGGAGGAGCACGAAGGUUGGCUAAUCCUGGUCGGACAUCAGGAGGUUAGUGCAAUGGCAUAAGCCAGCUUGACUGCGAGCGUGACGGCGCGAGCAGGUGCGAAAGCAGGUCAUAGUGAUCCGGUGGUUCUGAAUGGAAGGGCCAUCGCUCAACGGAUAAAAGGUACUCCGGGGAUAACAGGCUGAUACCGCCCAAGAGUUCAUAUCGACGGCGGUGUUUGGCACCUCGAUGUCGGCUCAUCACAUCCUGGGGCUGAAGUAGGUCCCAAGGGUAUGGCUGUUCGCCAUUUAAAGUGGUACGCGAGCUGGGUUUAGAACGUCGUGAGACAGUUCGGUCCCUAUCUGCCGUGGGCGCUGGAGAACUGAGGGGGGCUGCUCCUAGUACGAGAGGACCGGAGUGGACGCAUCACUGGUGUUCGGGUUGUCAUGCCAAUGGCACUGCCCGGUAGCUAAAUGCGGAAGAGAUAAGUGCUGAAAGCAUCUAAGCACGAAACUUGCCCCGAGAUGAGUUCUCCCUGACUCCUUGAGAGUCCUGAAGGAACGUUGAAGACGACGACGUUGAUAGGCCAGGUGUGUAAGCGCAGCGAUGCGUUGAGCUAACCGGUACUAAUGAACCGUGAGGCUUAACCUUACAACGCCGAAGCUGUU
rnacentral:rRNA from 3 species